rnacentral:rRNA from 1 species
AAUUCUCGUAGUCGAAGCUGAAAGGUUGAUCGACCACAUUGGGUCUGAAAAAACCCCAAUGCAAGUUAGUACAGCAGUGAGGAAUCUUGGUCAAUGGCCUAACGGCUGAACUGGCAACUUGGAGAAGUGGCAAGUCUUAUUUUUGAUUAUAAUUUUAGAUAAUCUAUAAGAUUGUAUUAAAAUUGAAUAAAGCUUUGUUUAUAUAUUGAUAAUGACAAUAUAUAUAUCGUGUCUUGACUAAUUACGUGCCAGCAGUCGCGGUAAUACGUAAGAGACUAGUGUUAUUCAUCUUAAUUAGGUUUAAAGGGUACCUAGACGGUCAAUAUAGCUUCUAGAAUGUUAGUACUUGACUAGAGUUUGAUGUAAGGGGGCAGUACUUGAGGAGGAGAGAUGAAAUUCUAUUAUACCAAAGGGACUCGGUAAAGGCGAAGGCAGCCCUUUAUGUAAAAACUGACGUUGAAGGACGAAGGCACAGAGCACAAACAGGAUUAGAUACCCAAGUAGUCUUUGCAGUAAAUGAUGAAUGCCAUAGGUUAGAUUAA